UGCCACCCUCUGAGUCUCAGACUUGCUCUGAUGGCCUGGCAAUUCUUGGUCGGGUUGUUGUUGCCCUUGGCUUUUCCUGCUGUUUUUGGAGCCUUGCGGAAGAAUCGAGCUCCUGCAAGGUGUUCAGUGGAGGCACUCCUUGCGGAUGCUACUGCCCACGCCUCGUUGAAGGCAGAGGCUGCCACAGAGUCCUCUGAGAGAGACCUCUCCACACUGCCAGUCUGCAUGGCCGUAAUGGAGGUGGCGCACGAAUGAUCAGGUUGAGACAAAAACAGCAGGCGUCCACCGUCUCCCUUUCCCCCUGACUCAUGGCUGGGCUGAACAAUGGGAUGCAAUCAGAGGUGCACCUAGGUAAUUUUGGAGCCUGGGCCUAAAGGCCUUUGGAGGCCCACCUCCCCUGCAAAUUAAACAUCAUCAUGCUCGGCUGGAUGACCACAACACCUGAGGAUAUUCUAAAGAGGAUUUGAGGGGGCCCCAAGGGCUGUGGAGGCCAUGGACUUCAGCCCGGAAGACCAGGGGGGUCUUCUAAUGAGGUCAUCUGAUGUCAGCUAGAGGACAAUCCAAUCAGAAGAAGAAUGUGCUAAGGGGCUGAAUUAACAAUGAUGAACAAUAAAACAACUGCAAUUUC